CAAUCACUUGUCUCUUAAAUAGAGACCUGUAUGAAUGGCACGACGAGGGCUUAACUGUCUCUCCUCCCCAGUCAGUGAAAUUGAUCUGUCCGUGCAGAAGCGGACAUUGUACUGCAAGACGAGAAGACCCUAUGGAGCUUUAGACACAAGACCAACCAUGUUAAACCACUUAAAACAAAACAAGUGGAAACAGAGUGGUAAACCUUGGUCCGCCUGUCUUCGGUUGGGGCGACCGCGGGGCAAAGACAAACCCCCAUGUGGAAUGGACAAACCAUUUAGAGCUAAGAGACACAUCUCUAAGCCACAGAACAUCUGACCAAAAAUGAUCCGGACACCAGACCGAUCAACGAACCAAGUUACCCUAGGGAUAACAGCGCAAUCCUCUUCCAGAGUCCA
rnacentral:rRNA from 1 species